AAAUAAGAAGCGAUAUAUUGCAAUUAGUUUCGACCUAAUCUUAGAUUUUUUUUAAUCCUUAUUUU
rnacentral:tRNA from 1 species